UCGUGUUGACAAUAUCAUUACAUUCAUUUGUAUCAAAGAGGAUGUUAUAACUUAUAUCUAUCAAUGAUGUGAUGAUUUUUAACUUGCAUCAGUUUUGGCAUGUUCUUAGUAACUGUUAUUGUGAUGUAGUAGGUGAAUAAAUUGUCAGCUUCAAUAUUUGGUACACAGCUAUUUAUAGCAGCCACACUCUCACCUAUGCAUCAAGAUGUUUCGCAUUUAUUCGAUCUGCACAUCUUUACAAACCCAUAGCAGUAUUAGUAAAGUGAGUGUUACCGAUCACCCAAGGAUAAUAUCAAGUAUUAGUAUCCAGUUUGGAAUGAUAUUUCAGGUGAUGACUACGACGACUAUAAUUACCGAUACAGGAGUAGAUCCCUCGAUAGAUCAUAUUCACGAAACACAAAUGAUGUUUACAGUUCCACAUUUUACAAGAGUUUUGUCAGAUCAUACAAAAGAAGAUCAAAUGCUACUCGUUCAGAUUCUGAAAGUCCGCCUAUGCUGUUAGCAUUGCCAGCACCUGAAUAUCAAGAUGAGAAAUCUAGUUC